GACCUAAUGGCGAAGCGGGUAUCGCGUCCACAUUUCCUGAUGCAUAAGAUGGAUGCUUUCGGUGGAAGUCCCCGGUUCGAACCCGGGUUAGGUCA